rnacentral:tRNA from 3 species
GCGGACGUGGCUCAGUUGGUAGAGCAUCACCUUGCCAAGGUGAGGGUCGCGGGUUCGAGUCCCGUCGUCCGCUCGA